GCCUCAGCUACUGAAUCAAAGCUCCUCCGCAAGACAAGAGCCAAGACCUCUCCUCCGCUCCGGCCCGCCUCCUCUCUCUCUGCGGACGGCCCUCCGUCCGCGUCACCAGCUCAGAUGAAGUCACGGGCCACUGAGCUGCUCUGCCUGCAGCCAGCCGGACCGCCGGACCUCAUCGUUUCUGUCUGACUGCAGUUAGCGAAAGGCCAGAAGAGAAAUCAUUAAAAAGUGACAGACGCCUUUGGCUCCAUUUCCUGCCUCAUUUUCAAACUUCUGGUUUCUGCUAAAGGUCCGGUCCAUGAUGGAGCCAUCGCCGUGCUUCACAGUGUGAAACCCGUUCAGUGACAGUUUCACUCCAUUCGACAGGAUUUAAAAAAGAAUCACAUUUGUUUUGAUGAAAAAUGAGUCAAACUUUCACAGUGACAAUCUGAGAUGUUUCAUAAAACUGAAUUAAAAACUGCAGAGGAAACUGAAGUAAAGAAGCAAACAUUUCUAAAUGUCCACGUUUGUUCAGGGAGAACCAAACGUCUCCACAAAGCAGGAAAAGUCUGAUGGGACAUAAACGGAGCGGUGCUGCGUUCAGAGAAACGUUUUACACCAAGCAGGCGGAUCCUAAACGGUUUGCAGCUUUACAGCAAACAACCUGCAGGGCAGCAAGGAAACGUUGGAGAUCAGGUUUCACUGCAGUCCGCCUGUCAAAGACGGAUGAACAGUUCAUCAAACUAACGGACAUGAAGGUUCCUCCUGCCUGCUUUCUCCUGACGGAUCAAUUUAAACCUGGUCUUCAUUAACUUGACUUUAUCUGUCCAAACCGUUUCAUCUGGACAGGAGAAGAAGAGCUGGACGUUAACGCCCCGCUCGUUCUCCAGCCCUGCAGGUCUUUGAUGGUCCAAAUCACCGAACCAUCAAAUGACAGGAAGAAAGAGCAUUUGACAAAUUGCUGUGGCGGCUCUGGAAGGCAGCGUCUGCAAAUUGGCUCUAAAUUCUCCCAUCAGUCAGAAGGAAGGUCAGAUCCUGCUGAUCAGAACCGGGUCGUUCUGGACCCUGAGCAGGCGCCGCUGACCUCAGCAGAAACAACCAACGAGGACAUGAAGACGUCCCCGGCAAACGGCAUCAUGGAGGAGCAUUGUGAAGAACGAAGGAAAGAGAAGGAGCUUCUUAAAGAGACAGAGCCCCAAUUUCACGGCAUCAAAUCGAGACGUCAGAUUUCUUUAAAAUCAUAUUUGACAUAUGCAGCAUUUUUAUAGUAAUUUAUAUUAACAUAGUUACUAGAUUGUGCUGCAAAAUGGCGCUCUGCCUAGAAAAUAUAUAACACCGCCCCUUUAAGAGCCCAAACUGAACCUCAGAAAAAUGAAACUUAUGUUAUCAUUUUGCAAACUUUUCUGUCUCUAAGGAAUUAUAACAAAUGAAAUCAUUUCAAAUUAACUGCUAUUAAUAUUUAAAGUUAUUUCUUAGGUUUUAUCAGCCUCAGAAUACUCCGUCCGUCCGUCCGUCCGUCCGUCCGUCCGUCCGUCCGGUUUCAAAACGUUACAUUUUCCUUUUGCUUUUCCAUUUUAAUUCUCAUUUAAUUUCUUUCUGCUUCACUUUGUGUUCAGAAAACUUGAACUCUUUAAUCUCAGGCAGCUGAAGGAAACGUUGGAAGUCUUGAAUCGGUUGGAGAGGAAGUUUCAGAGAAACGGUUCCUGCCUGGUUUUCUGAACCACGUUUCACUUUUCCUAAAGUUUGGUUCCCUGGGAAUCAAAUGUUUUUGUCCUUCUGUUUUCUGUUGUUGUUUUUGGCCAUGAACAGAAUUUACAUUAAAUAAAAUGUCGACUGACA